rnacentral:rRNA from 1 species
UGGGGAAUAUUGCACAAUGGGGGAAACCCUGAUGCAGCGACGCCGCGUGAAGGAUGAAGUAUUUUCGGGUAUGUAAACUUCUAUCAGCAGGGAAGAAAAAUGACGGUACCUGACUAAGAAGCCCCGGCUAACUACGUGCCAGCAGCCGCGGUAAUACGUAGGGGGCAAGCGUUAUCCGGAUUUACUGGGUGUAAAGGGAGCGUAGACGGCAUGGCAAGUCUGAAGUGAAAAGCCCCGGGGCUCAAACCCCGGGACUGCUUUUGGGAAAACUGUCAGGCUAGAGUGCUGGAGAGGUAAGUGGAAAUUCCUAGUGUAGCGGUGAAAUGCGUAGAUAUUAGGAGGAACACCAGUGGCGAAGGCGGCUUACUGGACAGUGACUGACGUUGAGGCUCGAAAGCGUGGGGAGCAAAACAGGAUUAGAUACCC